AUGAUAACUGGCGGAAGCAUUAUGAUCGGACAGGUUUUAGAGCAUGUUUGGUUAUACAAUGUGAUGGUAUUUAUCACAUCUCAUUGUUCACAGAAUGUGAAUUUUCCAAAGCUCCAAAUAGUAGAAUCGAGUCAGCAGAGGGUGAUAGGCCGCAGAAACAAACAAGCACUUUUAUUCAAGUUCCUAAAACCUAGGUCCAAUGUUAAUACAAAGCAUGUUCAAGCCUAA